rnacentral:rRNA from 1 species
GCGACCCCAGGUCAGGCGGGACUACCCGCUGAAUUUAAGCAUAUCAAUAAGCGGAGGAGAAGAAACUUACAAGGAUUCCCCUAGUAACGGCGAGCGAACCGGGAUCAGCCCAGCUUGAGAAUCGGGUGGCUUUGUCGUCCGAAUUGUAGUCUGUAGAAGCGUCCUCAGCGACGGACCAAGCCCAAGUCCCCUGGAAGGGGGCGCCGGAGAGGGUGAGAGCCCCGUCGUGUCNNNNNCCUGUCGCWCCACGAGGCGUUGUCGGCGAGUCGGGUUGUUUGGGAAUGCAGCCCCAAUCGGGCGGUAAAUUCCGUCCAAGGCUAAAUACUGGCGAGAGACCGAUAGCGAACAAGUACCGCGAGGGAAAGAUGAAAAGGACUUUGAAAAGAGAGUCAAAGAGUGCUUGAAAUUGUCGGGAGGGAAGCGAAUGGGGGCCGGCGAUGCGCCUAGGUCGGAUGUAGAACGGUANNUACUGGUCUGCCACUCGACUCUGGGCGUGGAUCGAUGCGGAUUGUGACGGUGGCCCAAGCCCGGGUUGUUGACAUACUCGUGGAGACGUCAUCGUUGCGAUUGUNGUGGGCAGCGUGCGCCUCUUGGCGUGCCUUUNGCAACUGCACGCUCUCGGCAUCGGCCUGUAGGUUCCCCAUUCGGCCCGUCUUGAAACACGGACCAAGGAGUCUGACAUGUGUGCGAGUCAACGGGUGAUUAAACCCGUAAGGCGUAAGGAAGCUGAUUGGCGGGAUCCCCUUGUGGUUGCACCGCCGACCGACC